rnacentral:snoRNA from 1 species
GGAUGCCAUGAGGUAUCUGAUGCUUGGUCUUCUUUCAUGGCCUUGUUUCUCGUUAGAUUGGCAUACAUCGAGAAGGAAACGGGUUUUUGCGACACUGGCUGCCCUCAUACAAGGAGCUUCCUGUUACUAUACCCUCGUUUACACAU